rnacentral:rRNA from 1 species
AUUGAACGCUGGCGGCAUGCUUUACACAUGCAAGUCGAACGGCAGCGCGGGCUUCGCCCUGGCGGCUAGUGGCGAACGGGUGAGUAAUGCAUCGGAACGUGCCCAGUAGUGGGGGAUAGCGCGUCGAAAGCCGGAUUAAUACCGCAUACGACCUUAGGGUGAAAGCGGGGGACCGAAAGGCCUCGCGCCAUUGGAUCGGCCGAUGUCGGGUUAGCUAGUUGGUGGGGUAAAGGCUUACCAAGGCGACGAUCCGUAGCUGGUCUGAGAGGACGACCAGCCACACUGGGACUGAGACACGGCCCAGACUCCUACGGGAGGCAGCAGUGGGGAAUUUUGGACAAUGGGGGCAACCCUGAGCCAGCCAUGCCGCGUGCGGGAAGAAGGCCUUCGGGUUGUAAAACGCUUUUGUUCGGGAAGAAAUCCUCUGGGCUAAUACCCCGGGGGGAUGACGGUACCGGAAGAAUAAGCACCGGCUAACUACGUG